CCAAUAGCGUAUAUUAAAGUUGUUGCAGUUAAAAAGCUCGUAGUUGAAUUUCGGGAUCAAUCUGUUGGUCGUGCCUCGGUACGUACUGGCGUUAUUGGUUCCUACCUUCUGAAGAACCGCGAUGUCAUUAAUUUGGUGUCUCGGGGAAUCAGGACUGUUACUUUGAAAAAAUUAGAGUGUUUAAAGCAGGCGCACGCUUGAAUACAUUAGCAUGGAAUAAUGAAAUAGGACGUUUGAUUCUAUUUUGUUGGUUUCUAGGAUCGACGUAAUGAUUAAUAGGGAUAGUUGGGGGCAUUAGUAUUCAAUUGUCAGAGGUGAAAUUCUUGGAUUUAUUGAAGACUAACUACUGCGAAAGCAUUUGCCAAGGAUGUUUUCAUUAAUCAAGAACGAAAGUUAGGGGAUCGAAGACGAUCAGAUACCGUCGUAGUCUUAACCAUAAACUAUGCCGACUAGGGAUCGGAUGAUGUUAAUUUUAUAAUGACUCAUUCGGCGCCUUACG
rnacentral:rRNA from 1 species